ensembl:lncRNA
UAGUCUAGUUGUAUUCAUUUAUAUGUAGUGUAUCUUUGCUCUUAAGUUAUGCUUUCUGGUAUUAUUGCUUAGUUUAUCUUUUUGUAGAGGGAUACUUUUCAUUGCAAGUAAGAAAAACUUCAAAUGAAAUAAAUUUAAAGUUUAAAGAAGGUACAAAGUUGGUGAGCUCCAGCCACAGUUCUAUCAGGUAUGUCAUCAAGGACCCAGGCUCCCUCCUGGUCUCCUCCGAGUAAACUUUAUCCCAGAGCUGUUUUCCUUCGUGUUCACAGGAUGGCUGCGUGUUGCCGUGUUCAUGUCCAGCACAACAGAAACUGAGGAAGACUCUCCUUCAGCCAUGGAACUCCAACAGGGAUUGGAAACUGCAGAGCUCCUCACCUCAGAAUCUUCCCUCCCUUCUGACUCAUCUACUCACUGCUGACUGCUGGGCAAGAGGAUAGAGUGCCGAAUAGCCAGAUGCUUUAAUUCCAUUUUUAGCAAUGAAGUUUGUGCAUGUGAAACAUGCAUGUGGAACCACCUGGUUAGAAGGUUUUUUCCAACACUGUCAAAGCCUCUUCAGGAACAAAGCAAAGUCACCGCUCCGAAAAGUAAAUAAGAGACUGGGAGAAAGGAGACCAGGUUCCAAAACCACUGCUGAUGGUGACUGCAGCCAUGAAAUUAAAAGACGCUUGCUCCUUGGAAGAAAAGCUAUGACCAGCCCAGACAGCAUAUUAAAAAGCAGAGACAUUCAUUACUUUGCCAACAUAGGUCUGUCUAGUCACGGCUAUGGUUUUGCCAGUAGUCAUGUAUGGAUGUGAGAAUUGGACUAUAAAGAAAGCUGAACACUGAAGAAUUAAUGCUUUUGAACUGUGGUGUUGGAGAAGACUCUUGAGUGUCCCUUGGACUGCAAGGAUAUCCAACCAGUCCAUCCUAAAGGAGCUUAGUCCUGAAUAUUCAUUGGAAGGACUGAUGCUGAAUCUGAAACGCCAAUACUUUGGCCACCUGGUGCAAAGAACUGACUCACUGGAAAAGACCCUGAUUCUGGGAAAGAUUGAAGGCAGGAGGAGAAGGGAUGAGGUGGUUGGGUGGUAUCACCAACUCAAUGGACAUGAGUUUGAGUAAACUCCAGUUGGUGAUGAACAGGGAAGCCUGGCAUGCUGCAGUCCAUGGGGUCACAAAGAGUCAGACAUGACUGAGCGACUGAACUGAACUGAUUUUGUUAGAAAAUCUUUGCAUUAAAUAUUUAAGAAAACAUGGUCAAUUGAGUCAGCUUGUGAUUCCAAUUGUAAGAUGUGUAAUUGAUUUAAUUUGAUUUUAACCUGAAAUCAAACUUAAUUUUUAGAUGUAUAAGAAUUAUAUGAGCACCUUGGAUUAUUUGUCAGAUGUUUAAAUAUUUAAAAUACUUUUUAAAAUGCUUAAACAAGCGUCAUGGAGCAAGCUAGUUAAUGGACUGAAUAAAAGGAUCCUUUAAAAAUUGAUUAAAAUUUGCUAGACUUACAAAUAAAAUAAUGUCUUAAAGUCAGCUUAAGUCCUUAGGAAUUUUGAAUUUCUAACUUUACUAAGUGAAACAUUUUAAAAACCAAAGUGUUCUCUGAAUGUUCUCUCUUGUAUCCCCGGGCUGCCCUGGACAGUAUUACAGAACUCACAUUAACAGAGUCUGCUGCCCUUGUGUUCCAGUCUGGACUGAUUGCUCUCUAAGCCUGCUGCCCCUACUUACCUGUGUUAGCUUCAUGUGACCCAGACUCUGUACACAUGCGUUCCUCUGAAUCUCAAGGCCACACCCAUCACACUAAAAGGAUUCAGCAUUCUUUCAGGAAGGAGGAAGGGCAAACAUGUCAGGGGCUGGGUAAGAAGUAGAU